rnacentral:tRNA from 1 species
AGAAAAGUAAACUAAAUUAAGUUAAUAGGUUCAUACCCUAGAUAUAGAAAACAAUUCUCUUUUCUA